rnacentral:rRNA from 1 species
UACGGAGGGUGCAAGCGUUAUCCGGAUUUACUGGGUUUAAAGGGUGCGUAGGCGGGUAGGUAAGUCAGUGGUGAAAUCUCCGAGCUUAACUCGGAAACUGCCUUUGAUACUAUUUAUCUUGAAUAUUGUGGAGGUAAGCGGAAUAUGUCAUGUAGCGGUGAAAUGCUUAGAUAUGACAUAGAACACCUAUUGCGAAGGCAGCUUACUGCGCAUAUAUUGACGCUGAGGCACGAAAGCGUGGGGAUCAAACAGG